rnacentral:misc_RNA from 1 species
UACCUUGUGACGUUCUCUGGGUGAACCCCCCCUUUUUUGUUCAGUUUCGCGCUCACCUUUGCCUGAACCUACCCGGCCCGGUCAGUACCGAGAGAGUCGCGAGUGCAACCACAGCUGUCGGAUCGUUCCAAGAGACGCGUCGUCGCUAUGAACAGUCCCAUCAACAGCGAGCAGCGUCCAUUUUCGGCGCAAUUCCCAAAGAAGCCCCAAAUUGGGGACGAAGUGAUUGUCAAGGCGCGGCUCAAGCCCAACGCCAAGGUAUUCUCAAUCAACUUCAUUCUGCCGACGCCUCCGCCCGUCCACAAGUCCCUGUCGGCACCAGCGUCCGUUGCGGAGUCCACCGUGGCAGCACAAGGUCAGGGUUGUUGUGGCAGGCUGGUGGGACCAGCGGCCAAGAGUUCCUCGCCCUACAUUGCGUACCACUUCAAGACCAUCUUCGGCGAAGACGACGAGGACGAAAGUGUGGUUGUUCAAAACUGGAAGAACGUGGUCUGGCAGCGUGAGGUUCGGGAACCGAACCGUUGGCUCCGAGACCGGACGCGGCCGUUUACGUUGAUCUUCCGGUUUCACCACGACACCAUCCGGGUGUUUGUAGAUCACACCCACCAGGCGCCCGAGUACGAGUUCGAGUAUCAGGUUCCGCUGGAGCGAAUCCGGCUCGUCGAGCUGUGGGACGACGUCGAAUUCGUCGAAGAAGUGACGUUCCGUUUCAAGAAUAUGAUUCGUAACGGCACUUAGAACAACCAAACGGUUGGAAAGCUUUGGCGCGCGCGCUUCGUGAGCCAUCGGAAUUCCAGCUGUCUGUACCCUAUCUAUUAACAACUUAAAACGCUCUGCAAACAUAUUUGCAUUUCUCUCAGCUUCAUCGGCACUCGUUGGAUCUGUCGCGUACUUUAAACGAGCGGACUUCCCCCACAUCACCAAUCUCUUUCAUUCAUCUUUUUCGACCUGCACACAUGCAGUCACACGUACAAACACGCAUAAUGAUGUCGCGACUCACGUGCUGGACGCCGCCGCCACCGCAGUAUUAAGAGGUAUUAAGUAUAUAUGCAGAGAUUCAUCAAGCACCACCUUGUUGUAUACGCUUUUAUGGAACCCUGAUGUCUAUGUUUGAAUAAGGAAGAGUAAACUUACACUCGAGUAUUACCACUCAACGCCCGAUGAACCACAAACAUUCUCUCUCUCACACUUAAUCUCUUCCUGCGAAACUAAUAAAAUGAAUGGUACUAUGAAUUGGUGCGGAGAUUCUUGAAGCUCCAGUACCGCGACCUACUACACACAGUUAGCGCCAUUCUCGCCAGAAGAGUUCCGACCGUCGAGCAGACAAAAUGCCGAAUUUUAUGGAAAGUUGUUCGUUCAAAAUGCACCCGAUUGGGCGGACCCUCGGCGAUGGAGACGAACUGGAGCUGAAGGGAAAUUUACAGCACAUGGACACUUGCUUUUCAGUUAACUUUCGCUUUGGAUCGGGAAUCGCCUACCAUUUUGGGGUGCGUCUUCACGAGGAGGGUCGUCACGAGGUUUUCCAGGGCUACAAAGACGACGCCCUGCCGGAUUGGGAGGAACACGAACCCGAGGAGUGGUCCUGCGAAGAUGCCACAUUGGACAUUACCUUUCGUCUGAGUGGGGAUGAGAUUUGGAUUUUGGUGGAUGGCGAAAAACAGUUUGAAACGUUUGAAAGCAGGGUGCCACUGGAGCAGAUCAUCAGUAUUGAGCUGAUGGACGAUAUCAACUGGGUGAAAGAGAUAAAGCUGAAGUUUAACACCAACGAGGUUGAAUAAGUGCACAAGUGAGUUGACAAUUUGUGACCUGAGAAAUUCAGUAUUGCAGUGCCUAACCAUUCUCGUUUAAUUUAUGAAAAGGUCCUUUCCAAAAGGUUUUUUUUAAGCAGGUAAUCUUGAUUUAUUCAAACUGCCUUAUUUUCAAAAUUUUGAGAGUAAAUAAAAAAACCCAGCUGCUAAA